AUUGAACGCUGGCGGCAGGCUUAACACAUGCAAGUCGAGCGGUAGCACAAGAGAGCUUGCUCUCUGGGUGACGAGCGGCGGACGGGUGAGUAAUGUCUGGGAAACUGCCUGAUGGAGGGGGAUAACUACUGGAAACGGUAGCUAAUACCGCAUAACGUCGCAAGACCAAAGAGGGGGACCUUCGGGCCUCUUGCCAUCAGAUGUGCCCAGAUGGGAUUAGCUAGUAGGUGGGGUAAUGGCUCACCUAGGCGACGAUCCCUAGCUGGUCUGAGAGGAUGACCAGCCACACUGGAACUGAGACACGGUCCAGACUCCUACGGGAGGCAGCAGUGGGGAAUAUUGCACAAUGGGCGCAAGCCUGAUGCAGCCAUGCCGCGUGUGUGAAGAAGGCCUUCGGGUUGUAAAGCACUUUCAGCGAGGAGGAAGGUGGUGAACUUAAUACGUUCAUCAAUUGACGUUACUCGCAGAAGAAGCACCGGCUAACUCCGUGCCAGCAGCCGCGGUAAUACGGAAGGUGCAAGCGUUAAUCGGAAUUACUGGGCCGUAAGCGCACGCAGGCGGUUUGUUAGUCAGAUGUGAAAUCCCCGGGCUCAACCUGGGAACUGCAUUUGAAACUGGCAAGCUAGAGUCUCGUAGAGGGGGGUAGAAUUCCAGGUGUAGCGGUGAAAUGCGUAGAGAUCUGGAGGAAUACCGGUGGCGAAGGCGGCCCCCUGGACGAAGACUGACGCUCAGGUGCGAAAGCGUGGGGAGCAAACAGGAUUAGAUACCCUGGUAGUCCACGCUGUAAACGAUGUCGAUUUGGAGGUUGUGCCCUUGAGGCGUGGCUUCCGGAGCUAACGCGUUAAAUCGACCGCCUGGGGAGUACGGCCGCAAGGUUAAAACUCAAAUGAAUUGACGGGGGCCCGCACAAGCGGUGGAGCAUGUGGUUUAAUUCGAUGCAACGCGAAGAACCUUACCUACUCUUGACAUCCAGAGAACUUUCCAGAGAUGGAUUGGUGCCUUCGGGAACUCUGAGACAGGUGCUGCAUGGCUGUCGUCAGCUCGUGUUGUGAAAUGUUGGGUUAAGUCCCGCAACGAGCGCAACCCUUAUCCUUUGUUGCCAGCGGUUCGGCCGGGAACUCAAAGGAGACUGCCAGUGAUAAACUGGAGGAAGGUGGGGAUGACGUCAAGUCAUCAUGGCCCUUACGAGUAGGGCUACACACGUGCUACAAUGGCAUAUACAAAGAGAAGCGACCUCGCGAGAGCAAGCGGACCUCAUAAAGUAUGUCGUAGUCCGGAUUGGAGUCUGCAACUCGACUCCAUGAAGUCGGAAUCGCUAGUAAUCGUAGAUCAGAAUGCUACGGUGAAUACGAUCCCGGGCCU
rnacentral:rRNA from 1 species